ACUCCUACGGGAGGCAGCAGUGGGGAAUAUUGGACAAUGGGCGCAAGCCUGAUCCAGCCAUGCCGCGUGAGUGAUGAAGGCCCUAGGGUUGUAAAGCUCUUUCACCGGUGAAGAUAAUGACGGUAACCGGAGAAGAAGCCCCGGCUAACUUCGUGCCAGCAGCCGCGGUAAUACGAAGGGGGCUAGCGUUGUUCGGAUUUACUGGGCGUAAAGCGCACGUAGGCGGACUAUUAAGUCAGGGGUGAAAUCCCGGGGCUCAACCCCGGAACUGCCUUUGAUACUGGUAGUCUUGAGUUCGAGAGAAGUGAGUGGAAUUCCGAGUGUAGAGGUGAAAUGCGUAGAUAUUCGGAGGAACACCAGUGGCGAAGGCGGCUCACUGGCUCGAUACUGACGCUGAGGUGCGAAAGCGUGGGGAGCAAACAGGAUUAGAUACCCCUGUAGUCCCAU
rnacentral:rRNA from 1 species